rnacentral:pre_miRNA from 1 species
AACGUACUCCCUCCGUCAGGAAAUACUUGUCAUUGAAAUGGAUGUAUCUAAAUGUAUUUUAGUUCUAAAUACAUCCAUUUUCAUCCAUUUUGAUGACAAGUAAUUUCGGACAGAGGGAGUACAUG